UUGUGGUUUUAUUUUAUGAUGUGAUGUUUAACAAUCUUUUUAGUAAUAGCUAGUAAUAGUACUAUUGCCUGCUAUUCUAUUGCUACUGGGCUUGUAUUUUAAACAGCAGCAGCAGCAGGAGCGAGCGUCUUAGCCCUUCGCACCCCCGUGCCUAUUUGCCAUUUUGGCUUCAGAAAACGUCUCCCCUUUUUUACGACGUUGCCGGAUGGUUGAAAGAGAGUGGUAAUUGGAGGCAUACAUGAAGGAAUUGAAGAUAAACUUCUUAAGAUAAUAGUUUACCGGAUAUUUGAAGACUGAAGUCAAGGGACCUUAGUAGUUAGUAUUUAUAUUAUUGUGACAGACCCACAUGUACAAAGUUUUAUCAAUAACGUCUUUAAAAGAACGACUUAAAAUAUUUUUACUGUUCUUUUUUAUGUUAAUUGCUACGGGGUUGAACGUACAGUGAAGAGUAGGUUAAAGUUCACUGUUUUUCAUGGGUUUUUAGUUACCUAAUUGUAAUUUAGAUUUGUAAAGAACUAUAAUAUUUAAAAUUAAUAAUCAAAAAUAAUGAAAAAUAGUAAAAUAUUCUUGAAAUAGUUAAUUCCAUUUAUGCAUAAUUUAUUUUAUAUAUUAUUUCGGAUCACAAUAAGAUGA